rnacentral:lncRNA from 1 species
CCUAUUUCACCAGUACCUGUAGAACAAGAAGUCCAUGUGUAGCCAAUAGAGAUUCGCAGCAACCGAAAAACUCCUCCAUGUAAUCAUGACCAACAUGUUCUAUCAUUCCGCUAAAAGAGACAGUAGAAAAGCUUGUCAUGCCAGCAUGUAGAUUGUAGUCAUAUGCAUAAUUUGAUGUGGUAAAAGAACUUACCAAGAAAUAAUUCUGUCAUAUUUAUUAGCUUUAGGCAAUUGACGAUAAUCACAAAGAUAGAAUCUGAUGUGGUCCUGAUAGCAGAGAUGGUUAAGAAGUUAUGAAUAUGAAUAAUGUGAUCAUUUGAGCAAUGAAUUUUAACUAGUAUUGUGUAUCAAAUGGUUAACUGUUCUUUAUAUCUCAAUACUUAGAUCACAUUCCUCAAAAUAGUUACCUGGAGGCCUGCUUCUCUGACUUUGAUUUCUGCAUAUUUCAGUUGCUCCUCAGACAAAGUUAUGCCUGUAUACUUGCAUCCAGUUUGCUUGACUAUUUCAAUGGCUAAGGUUCCCCACCCACAUCCAAUAUCAAGAACUUCUUGCCCCUUACUAACUCUUGCCUAGAGGAGUUAAAAAUUAAAGAAAGAAUAAGCAUCUUGCAUUGAAAUUUCUGAAUGAAUUUGAGUGGACUCACUUUCUCAAUCAGAACAGAAACUUUUCUCAUUUGUCCAACUUCCAAGUCUUCAUGUUCGCUCUAUAAACAAAAGAAUGCAAGCAUCAAUAUUCAAUACAUUUUCAACUUCUCCUCGAAGGUGAAACAUAAAAUAAACUAAAGCUAUAGUACGCCACCAAAGAAAAUCACUUCUGUUUUUGAAGUGAAAGAAUGGGAUCCCAACCUUAAAUAUCGCACAUGAGUAUGUCAUUGACUUGUCCAAGAACAGAGAAAAAAGUUCAUUGUUCUGUGAACACAAAAUGGAAAGGAGUUAUAAGGACCCUUUUGUUAUAUCUGAGUAGUUAAAAUAAAGCAGAAAUUCUAUAGCCUCAACUUAGCUCACUAUAACUUAUUAACACCAAUUUUAUAAUUUAAAACUUCAUUAAUGAAUUUCAGCACUGUUUUCCUUCAAAAUAGCAAGAAUAUAGCAAGAAGCAAUGCAGAAUUUGGAAAAACAGUUUUGAGAAGCUGAAUAGAUAAUUGUUAUAAAAUUUUAUCAGCUUUAUUUGCCCCUGUCCACUAGAAUUUUUUAAGUGUUAUUCAAAUUUAUGAGAACCUGACGCUUCUAAACUUUUAUUAAUUUGCUUCCUUUCUGCUAUAUAUUUCUAGGCUUGCCUGGAGAAAUUGAUCGUAAAAUCAAUUUACCAGAUCAUAAUGACGAGAGACAUUCCUGCGAGCUUGUGUGAGAGAAUUCUUCCUUGAAAUAUUCCGAAAGAAAUAUUUUGCAGAUGCAAUACUAGCUGUGAAGAACAUUGGUGACCACCAACCCCUAAAGUAAACAGACGGCGAACAUUUAAACGUAAAAUAAUAUUCAUGACACAACUACUAGUAAUAUCAUAUUCCCUCGAUCCACCAGUCACAAGUACCUCUUCUUUUUCAAUUUCGAUGUGGAAGAAUCGAAAUCUUGGUUCGCAAUCACAAUCUGAAAUACAUUUAACAGCAAAGAAAAAUCUCCGAAAGUAGAAAUUAAAUAAUCAGUUUGGUUUUAGAUUCAAAUCUAUCAUCCUACCAGGAAGAGAUUUAGAAGACCUUCAUCUUUAUCAACAAAAGAAAAAUCACCGUUGAUAUAGGAAUCUGCGAGGCCUAAAUCAGCCUCUGUCAUAACCUGACAGCAAUAUAUGUCAGCCUCUAUGCAUUGCGAUGAUAUGAUUGUUAAAUUCAACUUAUGUAACACACUGCACGCCAUAUGAUUUAGAUUCAUAAUUUUUCCAGCAUAUGUGAUCUCUCUUAGAUGAUGCCAAUAUCAAACCUAAAUAUAGAUUGAUUACCUUCCAGUAAAAUUGGGGAUUAUGAAUUCUCAAAACAGUUUUCAGAGGACUGUUUCUGAGGGUUCCCUCGAAAGUGAAAAUGGUGCCUCCUUCCUCCAGCAAACUGCGAAGCCAAAAUGCACACUCUAUAAGUAUUUCUUCAUUAUUUCAAAAUUUAGUUCUGGAAAUAGAAAAUAAAAAAUAAAAAAAUUGUGAGGGAAACAAUAUAUUGAUUUUGGCUAUUAAAGUUUCAAUGAAGCAAAUUUAGUGCUUCAUAAAGAGACUCCUAAGUAUUUUUCCAAAAUCUUCAGUUUAAAACAAACGUUUCAAACUCUAAAUCCUUGGAUGCUCCUUCAGUCAUAAUCCCCAAAAUGCAAACUAUCAAGUGUCUAUCCCAGAUUGCUCCCUAAAUGCAUAAAAAUGAAAUUGUUUGUGACUGGAAGAAUGAAUGCAGAAUGUAUGUGCGUAGGGAAAAGAUAGACCAAACUAAAUGGAAAUAAGAAUGCACUCACAUUAAACAGCCAGUAGAGAUAUAUCGUCUCAAAAAUCUAGCAACAAAAAGUCGCGCCCCUUUUUCCAGCAGAGACGGUACCAUGUGCUUUGGGUUGCUCAAAACAGCACAAUUCUUUCCAAGCACACCAUGUGCGGUAAUCAUGCCAGCCUGCAAAAGAAACAGACUUGUAAGCAAAUAAGGACCGUUUUACCCCUAAGUUGUAGAUUGAUCAAGCAAAACUAUGAGCAAUAAAUUUGAACCAAAAAUUUUAAAAACCGUCUUCAAAGAAGCUAUUCUUUUUAAAUUGUGAUGAUCAAUUAAAGUGUAAAACUUCAUCGUACUUUUAUAUCAAAUAAAUUCGCUACAACUUUAUUGCAGAGAAUAUCUCUGUGUAUGAGUAAUAAAUUUAAGAGGAGCUAACUGGCACCUUUAGUCCAUCCUCCUGGAAGCCAUAACCUGAAAUAUUAGGAAAAUGAAAUUACUAAGAUGAUCUGUAACCGUGAAUCUAAACUGAUUACUCCAAGACCUAAGAAGACACAAGAGCCGUGGAUAAUGAUGCGUAGACAGAUGUUGCAAUUUAACAUAUUGAACCACAACAUCCGCUUUAGAAAAUUAUCCAAAAAAUUUUGAGCUUGAACCGUGUUCUUCAUCUUCUUCCAAGAAGAAAAAUGCUCACCCUGAUAAGCGCCACAAAACCAAAUUCCUCUCUUCCCUUGAAUAAGAUCAACCGCAAGUGAGGCUUUUGAUGCAGCAACAGAAGGGACUUGAUAGCUAGUUGACCAUUUGAGCGAGGUGUUUUCAGGUGUAUGAUCUGGAUUAAGUGUUGCAAGAAAAGGCACACCCGUUUCACCGAUAUUCUGCAAGGUCAAGCAUUCCAGUGACUAUCUUGAGAAAUUAAGCAGCAUGAAGAAAACUGGUGCCUGUCUUGUUUGAUAAAGUGUUUCAAAAUUUGUUUCAGGGAUGCUGUAUUACCGUCAUUGUAAAUAGAAAUUAAUAAGUUUCUUGUUUGAUCAACUAAAGAGAAGCUAAAUGGGGAGAGAACAAAAUCCACAUAUUCUGAAAGAAUAUAUUAUCAUUAUUACAAUGUUACUUUAAUCAAAAGUUACCUGAAGCACAUUGAGCCAAUAAGUCAGACAUAUUUUACCAUCAGUACUCCCCAGAAAGUUCCACGCACUCCAUGCUGCUGUGUUUUGGGGCAUGAAAUUUGUGUCACGAUGCAAGAAAAUAUCACUGCACGCCAAUAGCGAGUUAAUUAUUGAUUGUGCAUUUUAAUAUAAUAGAUUACAAACGUUCAUCAUUCAAAUUUCAAUCAAUUUCAGCAGCUAAUAGUGAACCGAAAGUUGACAAAAAGUGGUGAACCAUGAGCUCCAGUCCAUUGGCAGAAUUGAUUGUUUUCGCAAAUACUUGGAACUUGAGACAUUUUACAAUGAUCUUUGGGAAUCAUAGAUCCAGUUGUAAGUGAAAAUUAUUCUUUAAUGAAAUAGCAUCUAUUUGAUGAAAAAUGAAGGAUAGCUGCGGAAGACAUUACCUGUAAACAUAGCGGAAAGCGCCAAGUAUUCUCGUUUCAUCCAAAGUUGCUUGAUUCCCUAGUAUUCUUAAAGCAUCUGGGGCAUGGACAGCCAUUACACAGCAACUGUAGUUUUCCUGGGAACCAUCUGAAGAGACUACAGUGCAACCUGCAAGAAUUAAUAUAUUCUCAAAAUAACAAGUGGCUGUAUAUCUUGUGAAAGGUUCUCCUAUUACCAGCCGAUAAUUACAUAUAGGACUACCGUAAAUUGGUUCAUUAUUGUCUUAAAUUCAUCAUUAUAAAUCCUCCAUAAAGUACUUGAUCAGAAGCAUUUUACUAAAAAUUCAAAGAACCAAUUUAAACACUAACCUUCGUCAGCUGGAUAAACAGAAUAAACCUCACAACUGGUUCUUAUUUGACAACCCCAGCUCUGAAGUUGUCCAGUGACCUUUAUUCCGAAGAAAAAAAUAAAAAUUGGAACAACCGAAUCAAAAUCAAUUGCAAGAAUUAAUAUUAUAACUUACAUUCUUAUAAACUAGAUAAUCUGUAAACGCAAAGAAACCUUGUUGACGUAAGAAUGAGAGCGGUUUCGAAAAGUAAGCCAUUGUGGGUGGCCAAAAAGCUGCAGAGGCAAUCAAGCCAAAAUCAGGAAACAAUUGAAAAUACUUGAUAAAUCGGUUAUAUCAACACUUUUCUUCUUGCAACGAAAAUGUACCUCAAGCAAAUGAUGGUUGCGGCAGAAUGAAAGGACAGAGAACGCAGAGAAGCUCAUAGCUCGCUCAGAGGGACAAGACCAUACUGAAUCACAUAGUGGAAUCUACAAUAUGAUAUUACAGCCAGUUUGUAUCAAAUGGAAUGAUCUUAACGUUGGAACGUUAAAGCUCAAUUAUAUGACAGAGAAGGUAUCAGUGGCCUCACAAGAUAAGACUUUUGAAAUAAUUCGGAGUAGCCGCGUAACUUUAAAAACUGCCCCAACGUUUCAUUACGAUUAAUGUCUGGAUUGUUUUCCAGCUCUUCAAUAUAUCUGCAAUGCAUAAAAGAAGACAAUAACAAGUCGCUCAGAGGAACAGAGAGUCUUAAUUUCAGUAGAGAGUUGUGUCAAAUGCAUUCAAGGGUGAGUUGCGAAAAUUCCAAAAAACCAUUAGCUUCCAAUUUAUGUUAACUUAGUUAUUCUUGUCCUCUGCUGUAGUUAACCGUUUGCAAAACCUUAAUCAAAUAAUACUCGAACAUGUCAUUUUCACCAUUGAGCUCAUAAAGCUUGAGUGCAAGGCUAAGUCUAAGCGAUUAAAAACUUAAAGGGGACGUGGUGAACAUCAAUGUAAGGGCAAGGUCCAAUUCAAUUUGUAAACCUCCUAUCUCGCUAGGAUUCAAAAUCUGAUGAUCAGAAAGAGAAAGUGGCUUGAAAAUCAUUCGGCCAAAUUCAGCCAAACCCCUUGGACCUGGAUUUUACUGAUUGGUUUAGUUAAAAUUGACCUUUUAAGUAUGUUGGGUUUCUGGAGAGAAUUGGUUUGGUAAGAGAUGGCUGAGUUGUAAAUGGACCUCAUGAUACAAGAAGUGCAUGAUAGAAGCAUGUUUGCUGUCGACAAGUAGCCAUCGGCACCCAACUGAAAGGGAUUUAACCGAGACUUUUUGACAACUAACAAUAUACGUGUCAAUUUUACCUUAACUGAAGAGACUACACUGUUGCAAAACAGCACUCCGGAUCCCAUUGUCAAUUGCUCUUACAUAAGAACGUUUUGAAAUUCGGGUGGGAUAUUUCCACCCCGACUAUGUUUUUAAAUCCACUCCACUUCCGUAAAAUAACUAUAGUGAAUUCACAAUACUUUCAAAAAUAUAAAUUAACAAAAGUUUUGCAUCAUUAAUCAAUUAAAUUCUUAUAUUAUUAUUAUUUUUUUUAGGGUUAUUUCCACCCAACCCCCAAAUGUUUCGACAUUUUCCGCCGCGCACCCAAAUAUUUUGAAAAUACUCACUCCACACCCAAUUCCGUUAAUUUGACCGUUAUGUUUAACGGAACUAUUUGAAAUUUAAGUAAAUAUCUGAAAUACCCCUUAUCUUAAAUUAGAAAAGAAUUAAAUGAAAUAAAAUGUUAAUCCAAUAAUUAAUAUUUACACUAAAAAUUCUUAAUUAAAAGUAAUUAAUAAUAAUUCCAUCAAUUAAUUUAUCAAAUAAAUUUAAUUUAUCAUUAUCAAAUAAUAUUUAGGGCAUGAACUUCCAAAUUUACCCUUUGACCGUUAGAAUUAAUGGUCAAAUAAACGGAUUUGGGUGUGGAUUGAGCAUUAUUGAAACAUUUGGGUGCGCGGUGGAAUAUGUUGAAACAUUUGGGGGCAGGACGGAAUUAACCCUUUUUUUUAAGGUUUCUUUGAUCAUAUUUGAUCAUAAACUUUAAUACAAGUUUUAUUUUACGAUUUUGUUAUUAUGAUAUAAAAUGACCAAAUUGUCUCAAUAAACAUGAGUUAUUGUAUCUAAUAAUUUAUGUAUUUAAUUAUGUGACCUAUAAUAUGAUAUUUUUAAAUGAAAUCUUAUUAUUAUUUUCACCACCUUUGCAUGUAAAUGAGUUAACUUUGAUAACCCAAUAAUUUACAUGAGUAUUGUGCCAUAAAGACCCUAUGUUAGUUUAAUUAAAGUUUAAUAACUAUAAUAAUAAAGUAGCAUUAGAAACAAUAAGUUUGAUAUAAAAUUAGAAAACUAUUGAAGUUAAAGUAAAUUCUUGGUAGUUUAUCUUAUAAGGGCAAAAUAGUCAAUUUAAACUUAUGUUAAAGCAAUUUUUGUAAUUAAAUAUAAUAAAAAAUCAAAGUCACAAAAAGGUAAAUUAAGAUAAAUUUAAUUAAUUAAUUCUCCAAAGUUCUUCUUUAUUUAAAAUUUUUUAAAAAUAAUAUGCACUUUUUGUAUUUAUUUUUUGAAAAUGGGGUGGGUUUACAAAACUUUUAGGGUGAGAUGUCAUCACCCUCAAAAUUCCUAACAACUAGGCAUUCUUUCUUUGUUUCUUUCUUUUCGGAUUUGGGUGUGGAUUGAGCAUUAUUGAAACAUUUGGGUGCGCGGUGGAAUAUGUUGAAACAUUUGGGGGCAGGACGGAAUUAACCCUUUUUUUUAAGGUUUCUUUGAUCAUAUUUGAUCAUAAACUUUAAUACAAGUUUUAUUUUACGAUUUUGUUAUUAUGAUAUAAAAUGACCAAAUUGUCUCAAUAAACAUGAGUUAUUGUAUCUAAUAAUUUAUGUAUUUAAUUAUGUGACCUAUAAUAUGAUAUUUUUAAAUGAAAUCUUAUUAUUAUUUUCACCACCUUUGCAUGUAAAUGAGUUAACUUUGAUAACCCAAUAAUUUACAUGAGUAUUGUGCCAUAAAGACCCUAUGUUAGUUUAAUUAAAGUUUAAUAACUAUAAUAAUAAAGUAGCAUUAGAAACAAUAAGUUUGAUAUAAAAUUAGAAAACUAUUGAAGUUAAAGUAAAUUCUUGGUAGUUUAUCUUAUAAGGGCAAAAUAGUCAAUUUAAACUUAUGUUAAAGCAAUUUUUGUAAUUAAAUAUAAUAAAAAAUCAAAGUCACAAAAAGGUAAAUUAAGAUAAAUUUAAUUAAUUAAUUCUCCAAAGUUCUUCUUUAUUUAAAAUUUUUUAAAAAUAAUAUGCACUUUUUGUAUUUAUUUUUUGAAAAUGGGGUGGGUUUACAAAACUUUUAGGGUGAGAUGUCAUCACCCUCAAAAUUCCUAACAACUAGGCAUUCUUUCUUUGUUUCUUUCUUUUCUUUUUUUUUUUUUUUUUCAAUGAUAAACACUUAUUAUUGGAUUCGGAUAUCUAAACUAGGAUAAACACUUAAGAAAUCAAAGAAAACUAACUAUUGCAAUUCAUAAAAUACCAUGAAAUUUUAUAUCAACUAAUACAUGUUGGGAUAUUACCUCGAAAUUAUUUUUAGAAAAGAUAAAGGACUUAAAACUGAAAUUUUGCCACUUUGAUGUUAGACUUACAUUUGAACCCUCACCUUUAUACUGUUUUAUUUUAUAUUUAGUGUUUCUUCAUUUUGGGCCCCUUGAUGAUCUGAUCAAAAACCUAUGCUUGCCACAAGAGUCCUCACACAUAUAAGUAGGUCACUCGGUAUCGUGCCCAAGAUAAGUUAAUUAUGAUAUUGUGGGACCUAAUAAUGUGACCUAACCACAAGUCUGCUAGAAGCCAUGCAUCUUAGGAAGAAGGCUUAUGGAGCUCUAUCGAAAGCACAUUAGAUAAGGCUGAGGCAGAAAACAGUAUAAGCAAACUAUCUGCAUCUAAUACCAGUUAAGGGUAGGAGAAAAAGUCCACUCGGUCCGAAUUUGGGUGUUUUGGGCCGAAUUUGACCUGACUAGGCCUUAUUUUCUAAACACUCACAGUCAUGCUCAGGCUUCAUUUAAAAAGCCCGAGUUCAUUCUAAUAAAUGUUUUUAAAAAAUAAAAUAAUUAAAAUACUCAUUUUAAUACAUAACAUAUAUUUAAAAUUUUAAAACCGUUUGGCCCAAAGAUUAAAGCCUAAAUCUAAUAAAAAAUAAAAUUUUAUAUACUAUAAAUUUGUUAAAUUUAAUGAAAAAAGUCUCUAAAAAGUGCAAACGCAUAAAUUCAAGCUUUUAAGUGCGACCGAGGCUUGAAUUUUUGCGAACCCUUUUAUAAUUGGUAUAGAGAUGAGUAAGAAUGAAAUAACACGUAUAAUUUCAUCCAAAUCCUACAAGAUAUGGAUAAUCAAGGAGAGUCCAAAGUCUCUUGUCAUCUCUAUUAUAAAUAGAGUAUCUUUACUAACUAAACGAUAUAGCUAGCACAUGUACACACAAUAAGCAAGCAAAGAGGUCUUGCCUUUUGUAAUUGUUCUCUCAAAAUAGUGUAAUUACUUUCAUAUUUCUCUUGUGGACGUAGGUUAAUGUUGAACCACAUAAAUUCUCGGUGUUAUGUUUACUUUCAUAUCGUCUACACCUUUAGUAGAGCACAAAUGUAUUUUUAUGAAAUAACUAUUAAUCACAAUCCUCGUAAAAAGAUGUGCACAAAAUCAUAUCAACAAUAAAUUAAGUCCACUUGAAAGAUAUAUACUAUGAAUUGUCAAAAGUAUUCCCAAACCUACCCUAAAUAAAUCGCCGCACAUACAUUUGGUAGAUAUUUUUAUUAUAAGUAAUAAACAUGAUCUAAGCUCUCCUAAAUUAAUUACUUUUAAAUCUCUUUAGCCACAUGUUUAAUACAGCGUGUAGUUAGAAUUUACUGCUGUACGGCCAAGGCGGAUGUACGGUACAGCAGUACUAGAUUUAUAAUUAUAUGUUUCAUCCCUACCACCAAAGUUAACAGGAAACGCAAAUAUCUUUUUGUCCAUUUAUUAUUGUUGCCCUCUUCCUAGAAUGAUGUGAAACAAGUUAUUGAAUUUUUUUAAAUUAAAUCCUUUCUAAUUUGAUUUGAAAAAAAAAAAGAAGAUUCUAUAACAAUUCCCAUUUGAUCAUUUCAUUCUUCAGAAUCUCUGUGGCCUUAAAUAAGUAAAGCUUUCAACGUUAUUUUAUAUUUAAAAAAAAAUUAAAAUUCAUCUUGUUUUAACUUGCGGAUAUAAUUCCUUUUCCAACGUUUGUCCAAAAAAUAAAAAACCCACAAAAUUUUAUGAUAGAAAAUAUCGAUAAAUCAACGAAAAAUAACCUUGAAGGGUUUUGGAGCCAUUUAUUGCCUCUUAUCGAUUUUGAUUCGAUCAAAAUGUUGUGCUGGACACCGAACAAAAACCUCAAACCGCAGAAGGUAUGGAUGGUUAAUAGCUAUGAAAUAAUUGUGAUUUUUGGGUUCAAUUUAGUCUAUGAAGGAGAGUUUCAUGAGCGACAAAGGAUUUCAAGAGUAUAUGAAGAAACUGUGCGAAAGAGAAGACGAGCAGCAGGUUCAUGUUUAAUUACCAAAACUAUUGUUUCAGUUAACUUUUAACCGUAGGGAUGAAAUGAAUAAUUAAAAAUCUAUUAAGAAUGUAAAUUAUAAAAAUUAGAUGUACGAGGGAUGAAACUGCUAGUCUCCUUUCAAUUCGGUUAUUUGAACCCAUUAAUUUCUUCUCUACACCAUCCUUUUUUAUUAAGAAUUUUAUUAUUUAAAUAAUUUUUGAUAAAAUUACUCAAUUAACUAUUUUUUUCAUCCUCAAUUCCUUCAUAUAUUUUCUUUUAACUACAAACUUUAAAUAAUUAGUUUCGUUAUAUGCUAUCAUAAACUGGAUCAAAGCCCAUGAUUAAAAAAUGAACAUCACCAGAUUUUUUCAGCUGUGAAGGUUAAUGAAUAUUAAGAAAUCAAUUCUUAUCAAAACCACAAAAACUAGUGAAUAUCAAGAAAAAAAGUUCUUAUAUACAGAAAGCACGAAAUAGAGAUUAUGGUUUAUUCAUAGACAAAAAAAAAAUAUCCAAAAGAGAGUAAAAUUGAGAACUUAGUUUGUAGAAUGUGAGAAGAGAAAUACUAUGCGAUCAUGAUGUAGAGAGAGAAAGAGAUUAGUGAAAGAUAAUUUUGAGAUUUUUAAAUUUUAACUUUUAAAUAAUGACUUUUUUCCUAAAAAUACAUAUAGAGAUUAGUUUAGUGAGUUUAAAUAACCCCACCAUUUUUAGAAAAUCAUAUAUAUAUAUAUAUAUAUAGCGUCCAUAUUUUUUUUUUAUACGGACACGCUAGCUUUUAAACCUUGUGGUUUAAUAAAGAUAUAUUUUAAUGCUAUUAAACCGUAUAAUACAAUAAAAAAUAACUCUAUUAUACCGCACGACUUAAUAGCUAAUCCGCAUUAAAAAAAAAAAAAAAAGUAAUGGCGCCCGAACCUAUAUAUAUAUCACGGAUUUAUUUUAGAUAAUGAUCCAAUAUUCUUACGUUAACUUUAACUAUAUGCUAUGAAAAUUAUUUUUGUUAGCGCUAAAAGCAAAGUAAUAACAGCUUACCUUAGGGCAUCAUCCUUGAAUUGAUUUAUUUCCCAAAGCAUUUGCCAAAAAUAUGGAUUGAGCAAAUUCUUCUUUUGAGCAAACAAACUGGAAAAACCAUUUCUGGUACCCCAUUCAAAACCUUGGCCUUUGUCUAAGCUCACUGAAAAUGACAUGUCUGAUGACUUCAUAUCAACCCCUAAGCUAUCGAAAAACUCCAUCGUAUUCGGAGAUGUCGCCUGUCAAAUCACCGGAAUCUUUGCUCAAUAACUCAGCAUUUAAAAAUAAUAAUAAUAAUAAUAAUAAAAAUAGUAUGUUUGGCGCAUAGUAAAAAAUGAUUUUGAAGUUUUUUACGGCCUACUCAGGACUCAAACAUGGACAGCUAAAACUGAAAAAUAAAAUUGUCGAAAACUCGCCCAACCAAACCCUGGUGAUACUCAAAAACUCAGCUUUAUUUACUUGCAAGUUUUAUUUACAAGAAUGAAAAAAUGCAUCACAUUAUUGAAUUAAUAGUUUUCAGAUUCAAACUUUUCUUUUUGCCAACAAAUUAAAGCAAUGUAAAAUGAAGAGGCAAAAGGAAUAAGUUAGAGUAACACUUACAUGAUUGAAGAGCGUGAAACCAAGGUCUAGAUCAACACCGUCGAUGGUGAUAGUCUUUGCAUGGCCGCCGAGGGAAUCCUCCUUCUCAUACAGCACAACAUCAACUCCUGCUUUUGCAAGAACAAAAGCUGAAGCCAAUCCACUAAUCCCACCACCAAUCACAGCAACUUGCAUUUUUGUCGACAUCAGUUAGUUCCCCGCUAACUUGGGACUAAAAAAUUGCUUCAAAAUCUUAUUUAUCCUGCUAAAGAGACAACAAUAAAAAAAGAAUUAAAGCUUUGUUUAAUUUUGAAUUUGAAGUUGGACAGCUGCAACUUGAAACUACAACACUAAAAUAUUUAGUAAAUGCUACAUACUGCGGCUUGAAAACUAAGUUGUUUUGAUCAAUCACUUGUAUAACGAAAAAAUUAUAAUAUUUUUAUUAUUUUUGUAAAAAUUAUUAUUUAAAAAUCAUAUUUAUCAUGAACUAUCAAUUUCUUUUAUAACUACAACUUCUUUUUCACCUCAAUAUCAAACAUGCAUCGUCGUAAAUAUAAAAUGAUUUGAAAAAUUGAAGUAGAAUAAAACCUCUACAUAUACAUAAUAAUUUUUUUUUUAAUUGUAGUGAGUCCGUUAUAUUAAAGCUCCCCUAACUUGCAAAUCACAGAAAUUUAUCAUAAAACUUAAAGAUGACUGAGAUGAUCACACUUUGAGCAUUUAAAGCAUUAAUUAGGAACUAGGAGGUCUUGAACCGAGUAGAAAAUUUUAAAGAGCAUUAUGUACAUGUCUCACAAAACUAAAUCGACUAUUGAAUGUUUAAAAUUUAUCCAUACAUCUAAAUUAUUUCGUUAGCACUUAGCAGUACCAUUUCUACAACAUGAUGCUUACAAUUAAGUCCUGAAGUCUCUGAAGAUCCUUAUAUAUAUAAAAUCAGAUCAUCACUAGGCAUUCUUAUGUCACUUGUUGGAUGAGCAAACCUGCUACAGUGUUGCGGCACACUGAAGAGUUUAGCCAAAAAUACUCAUAUCCAUUAAUGAGAUUAUCUCACAUUGUUCCAAAACCUAAGUAUAAAAGCUUGAAGCUACACUCAACUCAUAAUUAGCUAACUUUUGAAUAUGAAUUAGACUCAUGGAUUUUCAAUGUUGUUUUCAAGAUCAACUUGUGCAUAAAUAGGUUUAUGUUAUCUUUUUACCUAAUAAUGAUCUGGCAAAAAAGACUAGUUAACUCGUGCAUUCAGAAAAUUUUUAUUACUUAAUAGACAAAUUUACAUUAAUCUUCUAAACACACACCAAACCAAAAAAUAAGAUUCAAUUUAAUGUAAACAUAAGUCUUUAAAUUAUGUAGGAUCUUUUUCCAAUAUUAAUUUUACAAUGAGUGCACAACUUUAUUUCCACAUCCAUCUAAGAGUAAAUCCUAAAUGUCAUGCAUCUUUUGUGGAGGCAUACAGAUGUAAUUUCACACUGACCAUAAGGCUUCAAAAUGGAGUGUAAAUUUGCAACUGAUUCAAGAUAUGCUCAAAGUUGUCAGUGGGCUUCUCAAUUCGAUGAUUAUGCAUCCCUUCGUAAGUAGUCACUACGAUGCCUUCAUCAUUUGUUAGACGUUGAACUUGCUUCUUUACAUUGCACCCUUCGUGUGUACAACGGUAGUAGCUUCUGCAUACCAAAUUUAAUAAUCGUAUUAUGAAUUUCAUUACUCUCACUAAAAACUAUCAUUAACUGAUCAUGACAUAAUUAAAUGAUCUGUAUUGUAUGUUUAUAAUUACAACAGCUGUAUGUGCUUAAUAUAAUUCUCGGCACCUCAAUUUCUAGAUGCAUCAAAAUGGAAAUGGAGAGUGGAGGAAUUUACUGGAAAGAGAGUCGUAUGUUUCAUUCUGAACCUACCUAUCUGAACGUGGAUAUCAAAUUAGAUUAGGUUACAUGGAAAUAACUGUGAGAUCUAUAUUGAUAAAUUCAGUUGAUUCAUUUUUUAUUUUCGGAUAUCUAAAUCAAAUUCCUGGGGCUUCUCUCUGCGUAUAUGUGCUUGUGUGUGUAUUGAUAUUGCAGUGUCAUAGAAACCCAAGAUCUAAUUAGCAGAUUUUCUUAUUUGGACAUCUAAGAAAGUCAGUGUAUUAAUUUGAUUACACCUUUUACUACAGUCUUUAGAGUACAUUUUGAGAAAACCUAAUAUGCCCUAAUUUGUUGUACAAAAAAGAAACAGAGAGUUGAAACUGUGAUCUAGAACUCUUGCCUGUCUAAGUUCUUCUCUUCCAAAACGAUUCGUACAGAAAGGAAAUUCGGGGGAGAGUGAGAAACCCUAGAACUAAAUUAGAACUAAUUAAAAUCUAAUUCCUUUACUUAUGUGGCAACCAAGCAAGGGCUCCUGCAUAUAUCUUACAUGGAUCCGGAGCUAACACUAAUCUGAAAAGAACAAUUGCACUAAGCUCUUAUCCCCGCAACCAAGAUAAAUUGAUUUCUUUAUCAAAUGAAAUCUCACUUUUUGGAGAGUCCUUAAAGCAGUAAUAAGGCUAAGAUGUACUUGAAUAUAUUAUACUAGGCAUGAAGGUAACAAUAUCAAAAACCAACUCAAAAUCUAUGAAAUCAAGAAGUUGUACCCAAAAAUCCUAGACUAACCCUCCCAAAACUAUAAAUCUUACGUUAGAACCAUGGUCCAAGAAUCAUGUGUCAGAACUACAAAUAGUCAAAAAGGAUGGUGCUUGGAAUCUUGAAUCCUGCAUCAGAACCGUGAGACCAUGGAGACAUGGAAUCACUGACCACAAGUCCAAGAAACCAUUGAUCACAUAAAAUCUAUUUCCCCAGAUAAUAAUUUUAACAAACAAAUAUUAAUGCUACCCCUUUAUAAAGUAUUUUGUUAAUCAAGACCUGAUUAAGACUAGAUUUUGAAUAAAUAAGACUGAAAUUGAUGAGAAAUGAUAAAACAAGAAUAACACAAAGCACUCAGAAUUGAAGAAAAUUUCAUCAAAUUUAUUACACCAAAUCACUUGGAAAUUGAUAAAAAUAAAAUAAAAUACAAAGAGGGUCAAGAGCUUUCAAUCAAAACUAAAAUUACAAGGAUAGGUUAUAAAACCAAUUCACACAACCCACUGAAUUGAGCAGUGCUUAGCCUUUUUUUUUUUAUAAUAAUUUUGGGUUUUGUUGUAACGACCCUAACAGACUUCUGUUUUGUCUUUUGUCAACAUCAACCUAGGCAAAAAUCACAAAGACCCAUUAAUGGAUGUUAUUGUUCACUCGUGCCUACUAAUGUUUAGAUGUUAGCAAAAGGUCUAAACUAAUUUCCGAAACAGCCAAAAUUUGUCUUAUAAUUUUUGUCCUUUCAGUCUUUGUGAAGCUAGAUCACCUCAGAGACUUUGUUUUGUCCAUUGAAGAUUCUUUUCUCCUCAAAUUUUGCAGUAUUGGAUUUUGAUGGCGUGGUGGAGUAUUUUGUGGGUCUGCUAAGGGAUAGGAGUGAAUUAGGUGAGUCAACUUAGGAAAGUUGUGUGUCAGAUUUGUGUGCACUGUGUCAUGAGGAAGUGAGCCCCACUAUGUGUGAAGAAGCAAAAAGCAUACACUAGUCAAUCGCAGGAAGAUUUGUUGAUAUGAAGAUUUAGUGGUUUCAACACAUUUUCAGGUUCGAUUCUAGUCACUAGCAGUGCAGUUUUACUUUUUAUGGUCGUUUGAGGUUGUCAAAGUAAAUUUUAUCAAAUUUAUUUACUAUUUGUGAAAUUCCUUUAUGAAAUUAUGUUUUAUAAGAUUUAUCUAAUUUCAAGUGAACUAGCAAAGAAAGUAUAUCAAGUCCUCUAAUUAAACCAACAAUACAGGAAUACGUUGAGUAGAAUUAACUAAAAGAGAACAGAUUCAGUAUUGAUAUGCUAAAGGAAAGCUUCAUACCGAUUGCUGAAUACAACAACGUUGCCAAGACAUGAAAAUACAAUCUACAAUAUUAUGAGGGAAUUUUCAAUCAAAAUACUAUUAAAUCCAAUGAAGCAUAAAAAGCUCCAUGCAGUCUAUAAAGUUAAAAGCAUUUAUACACUGGAGUAAUUUUUUAAGAACUUACAUGAUAAUCUCCAAGUGUCCAAGACUUGAAACACACAACACAAUAAUCAAGAUAAUACUCUCAUGUCCGAACGAACUUUUCAUUGAAUCCUAAAGCAAGAAUUUCACUAAGAAAGAAUUUUGUAGCAUCAACAUUUAAAAUUAUGGUAAUGCUAUGUUCAAGUAGCUAGAAACGACCAUAUGACAAGUCAAAUACAAAUUAACUACAAUGACAAAUAAAAGAAAGUUUUAUUCGUGACUUUAAUGAAACUGUACAAAAGAGGUGUCUAUGUAUAUAUAGGCUCUAUAACCUAACUAGACUAGAAAAAUAAGUAUGAAUAAGUUAACCUUAUACUAUUUUUAUUGCCUAUGUUUCUCUCUGAACUUCUGCCUCCAACGUCUAAGUUUUUGGUAGUAAUGGGUUUCUAUAUUUUCCAGAUGCUCCACGCUGUAUCAGAAGAAGUGCAAUUAAUUUUGUGAAACAAUUAAGCUGGAAAACAAAAAUAACACCAAAUGCUAAACUAAGCCAACUACUUAUUAGACAGCUUACAACAUAAUCUGGAUGCAAAAGCCAUGGAUGAUGUUACUCUACUUAAACACUUAAUGAUGGAAUGUAACCUCCGAGGAAAAUAUAUUCCUUUCUGAAAUCUAAAUUCAACUUGUACUCAUUGUAGCACUUAUUUGGUUUUGAUAUGAACUAAAACAGAUCAAACAACAAUUCAUCAUUAGCAACAUAUGAAAUGUCAAGGGAAGAAAAAUCAGAUCAAAUCGGCUCAUUAAUGCCUGUAAAACAAGAAGUCCAUGCUCAGCCACUAGUGACUUGCAGCAACCAAUAAUUCCUCCAUAUAUUCACGACCAACUCCUUCUAUCAUCCUACUGGAAAUGCCAUUGAAAAUCAUAAAUAUUAUUAGCAUCUUGUGUUAGUAUAUAGAUAUUGCUGAAAUGUGAACCAAAAUCUGCGUUCUAAUCCAACCGACCUUGGUAUGGGGACUAGUGUUGGGAUUGCUGGACCCAACGGUGUUUGGAAAAUCUACUCUGCUUCCAGCUGGUGAUUCGGCUCCAGUGGAGGGUGAAGUGCGAAGGAGCCAGAAACUAAGGAUUGGGAGAUUGAAUCAAACACGACCCUAGCUUUCUACCCUCCCGAUAAUUUGUACUUAGAGUAAAGGUGUGUUUGGGAUUGAGAUUGAGCAGCUGUAGCUCAAAAGUUACAACACUAAAGUAUUCGGUAAACACUAGUUGCUGUAGUUUAGAAGAUAUGUUGAUAUAAUUUUUCACUUGUAUGAUAGAAAAUCUAUUAUAUUUUUAAUAAUUUUGUCAAAAAUUUUAUUUAAAAUUUAUAUUUAUUACAUAUUAUUAAUUUUUGUUUUAUAGUUACAAUUUUUUUUCAGAGCAACUGUAAUUUAAAAGUUAUGGCACCUCAAUUCUAAGAAGGACCUAAGAAGACUAUGACUACGGAUUCCAAUUUUCCCAAUUUUAGCACAAAAUUCGGGAGGGAUUGUUCUGGUCAGUCAUGAUUCAAGACUCAUCUCACUUGUCUGCCAGGACGAAGAAAAAAGUGAAAUUUGGGUUGUAGAAAAUGGAACUGUCAUGAGAUUUCCAAGAACAUUUCAAGAGUACAAGGAGGAUCUACAAACAGAGAUCAAAACAGAGAUCGAAGAUUUUGUUAAUUUGAAGACUCAGUGGAUUCAGAACGUUUAUAAGGUCCCUUUCCAGUCAUUAACGUUUCAGUUUUUAAGGAUUUGAGGUUAUCAAAGUAAAAUGAAAUUAUGUUUUAUGAGAUUUAUCUAAUUGCAAUUGAAACAGCGAAAAAAGGAUUUGACGCCCUCCUACAACAAACGAUACAGGAAUAAAUUGAGCAGAAUUAAUUAAAAGAGAACGUAAUCGAUACUGGUAUGCUGAAGGAAAGCCAUCCCAUGGAUUGCUGAAUGCAACAACGUUGCCGGGACGUGAAAAUACAAUCUUCAAUAUUAUGCGGGAAUUCUCCAUCAAAAUACUGUUAAAUCCAAUGAAGCAUAAAAUGUUCCUCGCAAUCUAUAAAGUUAAAAGCAUUUAUACACUGAAGCAACUUUUUAAGAACUUACCUAUUAAUCUCCAAGUGUCCGAGACUUGAAACCGGCUGCAUAAAAAUCAAAAUAAUAUUCUCAUAUCCGAAUGAACUUUUCAUUGAAUCCUAGAGCAAGAAUUUCACUAAAAAAGAAAUUUUAUAACAUCAAGAUUUAGAAUUAUGGUAAUGCUAUAUUCAAGUAGCCAGAAAUAACUAUAUUAAAGUCAAAUGCAAAUUAACUAUGCUCACAAUUAUAGUAUUUUAAUUUAUUACCUUUGUUUUCCCAUCGAAAAUUUUCUCCAACAUCUGAGUGUCUGUUAGUAAUGGAUUCCUCGAUUUUCCAGAUGUUCAAUUCAUUUAGUGGAAUAAUUUAGUAGAAAAAGAAAAUUAAGACGAAAUCUUAAACUGUACCAAUGGACAACUAUAGCUUAUACCAUAAUCUGGAUGAAGAAGUCAUGGCUGAUGUUACUCUCCUUAAAGACGGCAAGCAUCCACUGGGGAAAAUAUAUUCCUUUAUAAAACCUGGACCUAGACUGUGUUCAUCGUAACACUGAUCUGGUACUGAUAUGAACUCAAAAGGAUCAACCAACAAUUCACCAUUAGCAACUUAUUUAAUGUCCCAAAGAAAUGCAAUUAAUAAAUUCUCAUCAAACUGGCCAACGGGCCAUAGUUUCUUCAUUUGUCCCUCCCAUUUCACCAGUACCUGUAGAGCAAGAAAGUCCAUUUUCAGCCAGUAGAGAUUCGCAGCAACUGAAAAGCUCCUCCAUGUAAUCAUGACCAACCGCUUCUAUCAUCCCGCAUAUAAAGACCGUAGAAAAACUUGUCAUGUCAGCAUGUAGAUUGUGGUCAUAUGCAUAAUUUGAUGUGGUAAAAGAACUUACCAAGAAAUAAUUCUGUCAUAUUUGUUGGCUUUAGGCAGUUGACGGUAAUCACAAAGAUAUAAUCUGAUGUGUCCUGAUAGCAAAGAAGGUUAAGAUGUUAUGAAUGUGAAUAAUGUGAUCAUUUGAGCAAUGAAUUUGAACUAGCAUUGGUGUAUCAAACGAUUAACUGUUAUAUCUCAAUACUGAGAUCUCAUUCCUCAAAAUAGUUACCUGAAGGCCCGCUUCCUUCACUUUGAUUUCCGCAUAUUUCAGUUGCAGCUCAGACAAGGUUAUGCCUGUGUACUUGCAUCCAGUUUGCCUCACUAUUUCAAUGGCUAAGGUUCCCCACCCACAUCCAAUCUCAAGAACUUCUUGCCCCUUUACUAACUCUUGUCUAGAGAAGUUAAGAAAGAAUAAGCAUCUUGUAUUGAAAUUUCUGAAUGAAUUUGAAUAAACUUACUUUCUCAAUCAGAACAGAAACUUUUCUUAUUUGUCCAACUUCCAAGUCUUCAUGUUUGCUCUAUAAACAAAUGGAUGCAAGCAUCAAUAGUCAAUACAUUUUCAAUUUUUCCUUGAAGAUGAAAGCAUAAAAUAAAUUAAUGAUGUACACCACCAAAGAAAAUCACUCCUGUUUUCGAAAUAAAAUCAUGAAAGAAUGGGAACCUAACCUUAAAUAUCGCGCAAGAGUAUGUCAUUGACUUGUCCAAGAACAGGAAAAAAAAAAGUUCAUUGCUCUGUCGACACAAAAUGGAAAAGAGUUACAAGGAACCUUUUAUUAUCUCUGAGUAGUUAAAGUAAAGCAGAAAUUCUAUAGCCUCAAUGUUGGUUGUAAAGUGAAUACAAACACCUCACUCCAAACGGCAGCGUUUUUCAGUUGAUUCAAGUCUUAAUUGGCUCACGUGACAAGCACGGCUCUUCAUUAAGUUGAAACGGCAUUGUGUGUGAGCGUUUUGAAGACACUGGGUUUUAGUUAGAACACGCGAGCAAUCACGUGAGCACAAAUUGAAGCCAAGUUCGUUAUAACAGAAUCAACACACACGUAUUAUCAAAAAAAAAAAAAAAAAGAAUCAACACACACGUUUCACAAAGCUGUGCAUUCUGGGUUGUUAAGAUCGUUAUGAAACUGGUAUAUAAGCUAGUGUCUUCAGAGGGAGAGAUUGAGAAGAAUUCCAGAGAGAAAGUGAAUACUUGUUCUUUGUUCUCGAAAUCUCUGUAACAAACAUCUUGAAUCUUUCAAUAAAGCCUGCUGAUGGAUUCACCCGUGGAUGUAAGCCAUUAAUGGCUGAACCACGUUAAGAGCUCUGUGUUCAGUUGUUUCUUCUUUGUUUUCUAAUUGCUUGUGUUCUUGAUUUGUUAAUAAUCCUCUGUUUGAGUCAAGUGAAGCUUAUUGAUUCUUUCAAAUCGACCUAAUCUGUUACAUGCAACUUGAUUGAUCUUGUUAAGGAUCUUGGGGAGAAUCUGAUUUUGUGAGUAGUUUAAUCGAAUCAGAUUCUACACUCAACCUUGGCUCACUAUAACUGAUUAAUCCUAUAGAUAAACACCAAUUUUUUAUAAUUUAGAACUCCAUUGAUGAAUUUCAGCAUUGUUUUCCUUCAAAAUAGGAGGAAGUAAUGCAGGAAACACUGUUUUGAGAAAUCCAUUAAUGUAUUUGCCCCUGUCAACUUUGAAUUUUUCAAGCGUUAUUCAAAUUGACUAGAACCUAUGAUUGAUAGUAAACGAAAUUUACCGGAUCAUAAAGACGAGAGACAUGCCUGCGAGCUUGUGUGAGGGUAUUUUUCCUUGAAAUAUGCCGAAAGAAAUAUUUUUUUGUUUUUUUUGGUUUUAACCACGAGGUAUUCUGGGAAGGGCCCCAACUAUGGGAGGUACCUUUAAGCCCAUACCACAACCCAGACUAGAAGUCCCCGCUCGAACCGAGAGGCACAGGUUCUCCCAACAAAGGCGACUUCCCUGCAACUCGAACUGAGGAGCAAACCCAGUCAAGCCACUAAAGAGGACUUCAUUGACAGUGGAGCCAACACUUUGUUGGUCCGAAAGAAAUAUUUUGCAUAUGCAAUACUAGCUGUGAAGAACAUUGGUGAUCACCAACCCCUAAAGUAAACAGACGUGAACAUUUAAACGUAAAAUGAUAUUCAUGACAGAACUACUAGUAAUAUCAUAUUCCCUCAGUCCACCAGUCACAAGUACCUCUUUUUCAAUUUUGAUGUGGAAGAAUCCAAAUCUUGGUUCGCAAUUACAAUCUAAAAUAUAUUUAUCAGAAAAGAAAAAUCUCCGAAAGUAGAUAUUGAGUAAUCAGUUUGGUUUUAGAUUCAAGUCUAUCAUCUUACCGGGAAGAGAUUUAGAAGACCUUCAUAUUUAUGAACAAAAGAAAAAUCACCAUUGAUAUAGGAAUCUGCAAGGCCUAAAUCAGCCUCUAUCAUAACCUGACAACAAUGACUAAGGCUCAUCAGAUAUGAGAAUUUUUUCAUUAAAAUGAAUGAUAUGAUUGUAAAAAUACCACUUAUAAUAUACCGCCCGCAAUAUGCUUUAAAUUCAUAAUUUUCCUGCAUGUCAUCUCCCUUAAAUGAUGCCAAAGUCAAAUGUGAGUAAAGAUGAAGUACGUUCCAGUAAAAGUGGGGAUUGUGAAUUCUCAAAAUAGUUUUCAGAGUGCAGUUUUUCCGGGCUCCCUCAAAAGUAUAAAUGAUGCCACUUUCCUCCAGGAAACUGUGAAUCCAGAAAGCACUUUCUAUAAACAUCUGUGUAUUAUUUCACUAUUUAGUUAACAAACAUAACCAAAUUCUAAAUCUUUAAAAGGCAGAAUGCUCUUUCAGUUUUAAUCCUUAAAAGGCAUACUACCAAGCACCCAACCCAGAAAGCCCCGUGCAGAGCCUAAAUAUGGAAUUGUCUGUUACUGGAAGAAUGAAAGCAUUCGUGUUGUGAAUUUUCGGUUCUCACCCAAGAUCUCCACUAGCAAUAUGUCAAACAAAAAAUAAAUAGAAAAAUAAAAUGGAGAAUACACCAAUCACACAACACAAAAUUUAUGUGAAAAAUUCCUUUACUGAAGUAAAAAACCACUAGCUACCAAAGAUGAUGAGAUAAAAAUUUCACUAUGUGAAUUAUUAUGAUCACACUCUCAAAAUAUUUUAUCUCACACCCAAACCCCACUUACACCCAAAUUUCUCCACAUACGCAGAGGGCUCUCUUUCUCUAACUCUUUAUUAUUGUCUUCCGUCUCUUGUCUUUACACUUGAGUGAGCUCUCAAUUUAUAGAUGUUGGGACUUUCGCAUUGUCAAAGAAAAUGGGCCAAAAUCCGGAUGAUCAAAUGUUACUACCACCAAAUUCGCGUGAUAAUUUGGAUCAAGUGAUGAGCAGAUAAUAUAUAUGCAUAUUUUACCCUUUAUUAAAUAUUUACUAGUUAUUUUUAUAUAUUAUUUUUAGUUAAUUGAAUUAUUUUAUUGAACAGGAUAAUGAAUUGAAGAUCGAAAGUAAUAUGUGCUUAAAGAUAUCAAAACUAGAGAAAAUUGAAGAUUAUUUAGGUUCAUUGCCGUGGGGAUUAAGGCCAAAUUACAAAUAAAUUCAUUGACCCAAUUCAUAACAAAAUCAGAUGAUGAAUAAUAGCCAAAACAGCACCUGGUGCUGCUUUUAACCCAAAAUACAACAGCUGUUCAUCACCCAGAAAAUUUUCUAGGUGCUUUCACGCUGCUGUUUGCUGUUUUAACCCAAAAACAACAGCUGCUUGGCACUUAGAAAAUUUUAUGGGUGCAGUCAUGCUGCUGUUCGAGGUGCUGUUUUUAACCUAACUACAGGUCCGUUUGGGGCAGCUGCUCUCCAUGCUUUAUUCUAGGGGAUAUUCCCCUAAAAUAAAGCGAUAUCCCCUAGAAUAAAGCAUGGGGAGCAGCUGCCCCAAACGCUCUCUACAGCAGUAGAUCAGCAGCCAGAAAAUUAAAAACAGCACCUGGUGCUGCUUUUAACCCAAAUACAGCAGCUGCUUAGCACCCAAAAAAUUCUCUGGGUGUAGUCAUGGUGCUGUUUGCUGUUAAAAACAGCAUCAAUUCAAUUUCUGAAUGUUGGAUUGUCAAAUUAUAUUUAUUAAAUUUUUAAUUCUGUGUUCAUUUUUUUCCUUUGAAUUUAUAGUUCUUUAAUAUAUCCAUGUGUAAACAUUUUGAUUAGACACAGGUUCUAGAUUUGAGUCCAAAUAACUUUAAAGGGCCAUGUUAACUCACGUGUAUAUAUAUAUAUAUAGCAAGUUACGUUUAUGUAUAGCAAGUUACGUUAGCAAGUUACGUGUUAUAUGUUUCCUAGUUUGAUAGGAUUUCCUUUCCUUGUGAACUAGGGUAAUUCUUAGGUGUAUAUAUAUAUUGAUCAAUAAGAGUGCAGAGGGAAGACUAUGAAAGCCACUGCUAUUUUUACAUCGUAAAAUUCUACAUGGUAUCAGAGAGAGAUGGAAGACCAAACUCAAACAAAAACAAAAGAUAAAGAGGCUAGCGGAAGUGGAUUGGGCAAGACAAUGAUGUCUCCUUACUUCCUCUCGGCCAGUGAUAAUCCUGGAACUAUCAUUACUCAAGUGCAACUUCGAGGAACCAACUAUGACGAGUGGGCAAGGGCUAUGCGGACUGCAUUGCGCGCCAAGAAGAAAUUCGGUUUUGUUGAUGGAACCGUGAAACCUCAUGCUGAUGACUCGGCUGAUUUGGAGGAUUAGUGGAUGGUGAAUUCAAUGUUGGUCUCCUGGAUACAGAAUACAAUUGAACCGAACCUGCGAUCAACUGUGACUUAUACAGAAGUUGCUAAGUUGCUGUGGGAUGAUAUCAAGGAAAGGUUCUCUGUUGGGAAUGGACCACGUGUGCAGCAACUCAAAUCUGAGUUGGCGAAUUGCAAGCAGCGAGGUAUGACUAUUUUGAAUUAUUAUGGAAAACUCAAGAUGUUGUGGGAAGAAUUGAGUAACUACGAGCAAUCGCCUGCUUGUCUAUGCGGCAAUUGUACGUGUAAUCUAGGUGCGGAAUGGGAUAAGAAACGAGAUGAAGAAAAGUUGCAUCAAUUCUUGAUGGGUCUUGAUGAAGCCGUGUACGGUGGUGUGCGGUCCCAUAUUUUAAGCACCGAGCCGCUGCCAAAGUUGAACCGUGCCUAUGCCAUAGUCAUUCAGGAGGAGCAGGUUCAGUCAAUGACACGUGCUAAAGAAGAACGAAGUGAACCUGUAGCAUUUUCCGUUCAAGCCGCGCAAGGAUCACAUGAUAACCGUGAUAAGACUUCUGUGCUUUGUAACCAUUGCAACAAGACUGGACAUGAAGCAUCUUCUUGUUUCCAGCUUAUUGGGUAUCCCGAAUGGUGGGGUGAACGACCGAAAGCCACGAGGAAUGCAGGUCGUGGUCGCGGCAAUUCACGACAGAAUGGUGGAAACAAUGGGCGUGGUCGUGGAGGUCCUGCUCGAGCCAACGUUGCUCAAGUCGCGACAGGGUCUAACAAUUCGUCUGGAGAACUCACGGAAUCAGCUGCAAGUGGUCUUAGUGGUUUGAGCAGUGAGCAGUGGAACACAUUGCUUAAUCUUUUGAACAGUAAAAAAGACAGCAACUCACGGAUCAGUGGUAAGCGUAAUUCAAUGGAGUGGAUUCUUGAUACUGGGGCCUCACAUCACAUGACAGGAAACAGAAAAAUCUUACGCGACAGUGUAUCUGUUAUUCCCUGUUCUAUUCGGCUACCUGAUGGAAAUGUGACAAUAGCAAAUACAAAAGGAACAGUUGUGCUUGCGAGCCACCUACGACUAAAUAAUGUUUUAUUUAUGCCAAGUUUAACUUGCAAUUUAAUUUCUGUAUCGCAACUGAUUCGAGAUGUCAAUUGUUUUAUCCAAUUUUAUGAUCAAUUAUGUGUGAUACAGGACCGCAUUACGAGGAUGCUGAUUGGAGCGGGUGAGCAGCGAGAGGGACUCUAUUAUUUUUGGGACAUUGGUUCGGCCUCCGGUCUAUCUAGUGUUGCCAACCGAGCUUGUGAUUUAUGGCAUCGAAGGCUGCUGUACCGUACAUCCGCCUUGGCCGUACAGCAGAAUCCAAAAAUCCCCCCUUUUUCACAAUAGAUUCCUCCCUUAAAUCCUCUCUCUCUUCUCCUCUAGAAUUCUAUUUAAAAUAAAAUACUAAUAUCUGAAAUGUUAAAUUCGUAAUUACAAAAAUAACCAAAAAUACAAAACACGUUAAAAUAAAAACUGCAGGUCCGCAGUUGACAGCACGCGCCCACGCCUUAUCAACAAAGUUCUUCUGCCGCUCAUAUUUUCUCCAAGAGAACAAUCAUCCUUAAACAUCAUCUUGUAGCUCAAUUUUAUCACCAAUCAAUAGAAUUGCACCUACAAAAGUAAAACACAAGUAAAUCACUAUUAUUAAGUGCAAAACAUUGAUAUUAAGGGAAGUAAANNNNNNNNNNNNNNNNNNNNNNNNNNNNNNNNNNNNNNNNNNNNNNNNNNNNNNNNNNNNNNNNNNNNNNNNNNNNNNNNNNNNNNNNNNNNNNNNNNNNNNNNNNNNNNNNNNNNNNNNNNNNNNNNNNNNNNNNNNNNNNNNNNNNNNNNNNNNNNNNNNNNNNNNNNNNNNNNNNNNNNNNNNNNNNNNNNNNNNNNNNNNNNNNNNNNNNNNNNNNNNNNNNNNNNNNNNNNNNNNNNNNNNNNNNNNNNNNNNNNNNNNNNNNNNNNNNNNNNNNNNNNNNNNNNNNNNNNNNNNNNNNNNNNNNNNNNNNNNNNNNNNNNNNNNNNNNNNNNNNNNNNNNNNNNNNNNNNNNNNNNNNNNNNNNNNNNNNNNNNNNNNNNNNNNNNNNNNNNNNNNNNNNNNNNNNNNNNNNNNNNNNNNNNNNNNNNNNNNNNNNNNNNNNNNNNNNNNNNNNNNNNNNNNNNNNNNNNNNNNNNNNNNNNNNNNNNNNNNNNNNNNNNNNNNNNNNNNNNNNNNNNNNNNNNNNNNNNNNNNNNNNNNNNNNNNNNNNNNNNNNNNNNNNNNNNNNNNNNNNNNNNNNNNNNNNNNNNNNNNNNNNNNNNNNNNNNNNNNNNNNNNNNNNNNNNNNNNNNNNNNNNNNNNNNNNNNNNNNNNNNNNNNNNNNNNNNNNNNNNNNNNNNNNNNNNNNNNNNNNNNNNNNNNNNNNNNNNNNNNNNNNNNNNNNNNNNNNNNNNNNNNNNNNNNNNNNNNNNNNNNNNNNNNNNNNNNNNNNNNNNNNNNNNNNNNNNNNNNNNNNNNNNNNNNNNNNNNNNNNNNNNNNNNNNNNNNNNNNNNNNNNNNNNNNNNNNNNNNNNNNNNNNNNNNNNNNNNNNNNNNNNNNNNNNNNNNNNNNNNNNNNNNNNNNNNNNNNNNNNNNNNNNNNNNNNNNNNNNNNNNNNNNNNNNNNNNNNNNNNNNNNNNNNNNNNNNNNNNNNNNNNNNNNNNNNNNNNNNNNNNNNNNNNNNNNNNNNNNNNNNNNNNNNNNNNNNNNNNNNNNNNNNNNNNNNNNNNNNNNNNNNNAGAAUUUAUGCACUUAUCUGAUUUCUUUGCUGAGCAUGGCAUUCAUCAUCAAACAUCUUGUGUGGGUACUUCUCAACAGAAUGGUCGAGUCGAACGCAAGCAUCGACACAUUCUCAAUGUUGCUCGCGCUCUGCGCUUUCAGGCUUUCUUACCCAUUGAAUUCUGGGGUGAAUGUGUUUUAACUGCUUGCUACUUGAUCAAUCGAACACCUUCUGUUCUUCUUGACGGACAGACUCCUUAUGAACGACUAUUUGGCAAGGCACCAUCUUAUGCAAAUAUUCGGUCAUUUGGUUGCCUCGCUUAUGCCUACAACCGUGGUCAUCGCGGUGAUAAAUUUGCUAGUCGAAGUCGUCGUUGUAUAUUCAUGGGUUAUCCCUUUGGUAAAAAGGGAUGGUAUUUAUAUGAUUUGGAGAGUGCGUCAUUCUUUACUUCCCGGGAUGUAACGUUCGUUGAGCAUGACUUUCCCUAUAAGGCUCUAACCGAACCAACUGCUACUGUCAUGCCUGCUCCUGAGCGUGAUGAACCGGUUUUAGCUGAGGAUUUAUCACAUGAUUUAAGCGCUCCUAUUGUCUCACCAGAUUCACAGGAUACAGAUGAUGUUCUUAAGACCAUUAAUACUCCAUCACCAGUACCCGCUUCUCCUACUUUUGAUGAGCAUGCUUCUGAUGACAGGGGGGCAUUGAAGUUAUUGAGACAUCAUUGCAACAACAACCGGCGUUGGGGCGCCAUCUUAGACAGCGGCAACAAUCGAUUAAGUUAAAAGAUUAUGUCUUACAUACUGUUCAGCAUUUGAGUCCCUCUUCGCGGCCUUCUUCAUGCUCACACGCUCAAUCACUUCCUGCAGGUAGUCCUUAUCCCAUACUUGAUUAUGUGAAUGGUAAUAAUUUUUCUGUUCGAAAUUGUGCUUUUCUAGCAGCGAUUACUGCAGGAGUUGAGCCUGCCUCUUUUGCUAAAGCCGUGAGAGAUCCUAAAUAGCGUGAGGCCAUGUAUUAUGAAUUGCAGGCACUGGAAAAUAAUGGCACAUGGACUGUUGUGUCUCUACCACCUGGAAAGCGUGCUAUAGGAUGUAAGUGGGUGUACCGGAUUAAGUACAAUGCCGACGGUACAAUUGAAAGAUACAAAGCUCGCUUGGUGAUCCUUGGGAACAAGCAAGUUGAAGGAAUUGAUUACACAGAGACAUUUGCUCCUGUCGCAAAACUUGUUACAGUUCGAACUUUUUUAGCUGUUGCUGCGGCUAGGAAUUGGGAGCUUCAUCAGAUGGAUGUUCACAAUGCUUUCUUACACGGUGAGCUUAAUGAAGAAGUUUACAUGCGCUUACCGCCUGGUUUCACCUCAAACGAAUCUGGAAUGGUUUGUCGUCUAAGAAAGUCAUUAUAUGGAUUAAAGCAAGCUCCCCGUUGUUGGUUUGCAAAGUUGGCAGCAGCUUUGAAGACUUACGGCUUUGCUCAAUCGAGCUCGGAUUAUUCUUUUUUUACCUUGUAUCGGGAUAACAUACAUCUACUUAUGCUUGUGUAUGUUGACGAUAUAAUUGUUUCGGGAAACAACAGCGAAGCUAUUCAUGUAUUCAAAAGGUAUUUGAGUGAUUGUUUUUAUAUGAAAGAUCUAGGUCCAUUGAAAUAUUUUUUGGGUAUUGAAGUUGCAAGAAAUCCGACAGGAAUCUUCCUGUUUCAGCGGAAGUAUGUGUUAGAUAUUAUCUCUGAGGCUGGAUUACUUGGUGCAAAACCAGCCCCAUUUCCCUUGGAACCGAAUCAUCAGCUAGCUUUGGUCGAAGGCCUUUAUUUUUCUGAUCCUGCGAAAUAUAGACGACUCGUCGGUAGAUUAAUUUAUCUUUCCGCUACAAGGCCAGAGUUGUCUUAUUCGGUUCAUCUGCUUUCUCAAUUUAUGCAGCACCCGCGGGAGCGACAUUGGGACUCAACUUUGCGGGUAGUUCGCUAUCUGAAAGGUAACCCUGGUCAAGGUGUGUUUUUAAGCUUAGAUUGUGAUUUGCAACUCUAUGGGUGGUGUGAUUCUGAUUGGGCAAGCUGCCCCCUAUCUCGGCGUUCUUUAUCUGGGUGGUUUGUCAUGCUUGGAUCCUCUCCUAUAUCCUGGAAAUCUAAGAAACAACACACUGUUGCGCGAUCCUCUGCUGAGGCCGAGUAUCGUGCCAUGGCAACAAUUACAUGUGAGCUCAAGUGGCUCAAAGGGUUGUUGAUGUCUCUCGGAGUUGAUCACUCACGACCCAUGCACAUGUAUUGUGACAGCCAGGCUGCUCUUCAUCUAGCUGCCAAUCNNNNNNNNNNNNNNNNNNNNNNNNNNNNNNNNNNNNNNNNNNNNNNNNNNNNNNNNNNNNNNNUGUUAACUCACGUGUAUAUAUAUAUAUAUAGCAAGUUACGUUUAUGUAUAGCAAGUUACGUUAGCAAGUUACGUGUUAUAUGUUUCCUAGUUUGAUAGGAUUUCCUUUCCUUGUGAACUAGGGUAAUUCUUACGUGUAUAUAUAUAUUGAUCAAUAAGAGUGCAGAGGGAAGACUAUGAAAGCCACUGCUAUUUUUACAUCGUAAAAUUCUACAGGCCAAGAUUUGAACCUCUAGAGAAUUGCUAACCUCUGCAGAUUUGUCUUGUUUAUUUAUCUCUCAUUUGUCGUAAGAGAAUGUUGAAGUUAUAAUGAAAUACGGCUUACGAUAUUUAUCAGUUUUGUUCAUAAUAAUUGUUAAUUAUUCAUUUCUUUUAAAUUUAUUUUUGAGCAAAUUUCUGGGGCCUCCUUGGAAACAAACUGAGAUGUUGUAACAUUGACAGAAUUAUUCUUUUAAUUGAGUUUUUUUUUCUUCCUUAUGCCUGUAAAAUUGACAGAAUUUUCAAAUUUAUUCUUGUGUAAUUUUUCUGGUUUCAUGUCUUCAAUAGAGUAUUUAUAGAAAUAAAUCGAGAUUGAACCAAUCAGUGAAAAUGGUGAUACUUGGGAUUUUUUGAGUCUUUGCUUUUUUUCUUUACUUUAAAAGCUAAUUUCUUUAGCUUUACAUUUGAUUUGAAUUUUUUGUUUCUCUUCUUUGCAGCCAACCAAUGAAAAUGGUGAUGCUCGCGCUCCAUUAAGCAUAGAUUUAACAGGAACCACAUUGGUGCGCCUAGUUGCAAGAUGAGAACUGCUUUGCAAAGCAUGCUAAGGAUUUAGUUUCUGAAGGGCAAGCUUGCUGGUUGGGUAUAAAUAUUCCAAUUGCCAAUACCACCUUGUGUAAGCACAAAAUAUGGUCUCCAUUUGUUUUUAGCUUUAUAUUUGUUUGUAUAGGUAUAUGAUACUGGAUUUCAAUUUGAGAAUUCGUGUAGUAUUUUUUUCACUGUUAGAUUUAGUUAGAUCAAAGUUAUUUAAGUGCUAAAUUGUUAUAAUUAAGUUUGUAUGCAUUUGAGUACUUUAUAUGUAAAUGAUAAUUAUAUCAACGUGUAAUGUAAAUUGAAAUUUGCAAAUGCGGCUUCAAUUAUGGACAAUGGAUGAUAAAGAUUUAUAAAUUUUAAUUUUAGUGAAAAUUUAAUUUAAAAAAAAUUGAAGCAUAGUAAUUUUAAAUCACUAUUGUUUUUUCUUUUAACUCACGCAAAAGAUGAUGGUUCUUAUUUAAGAAUAGUCAUCAAAGAUCAAUAUAAGAUGACUAUUAUCAUUGAAAACAAUCAUUGAAUGUCUUAAAAAUACAUUAGAAGAUGAUGGUUUCAUUUGAAAACCGUGAUUAAAGUUACGUUAUCAAUAUUGUCAUUAAACAUAAAUUAUGUAAAUAAAACAUAAAAUUUGUAAAUUUAACAUAAAACUUGUAAAUCAACAUUAACUAUAAAAUAAAACAUAAAUUUUAGAAAUUAAACAUAAGACUUCUAAAUGUAAAGUAAAAUGAGUAAAUUAAUAUAAAACUAGUAAAUUAAUUUAUUAUUAGUAAAUAAAACAAAAACUUGCAAAUAUAACAUAAAGCUCAUAAAUCAACAUUAAGUGCAAAAUAAAACAAAAAGUUUAGAAAUUAAACAUAAGAUUUGUAAAUAGAAAUAAAACAAUUAAAUUAAUAUAAAACUAGUAAAUUGAUGUAUUAUUAGUAAACAAAACUAAAACUUGCAAAAAUAACUUAAAACUAGUAAAUUAACAUUAACUGUAAAAUAAAACAUAAAUUUUGAAAAUGAAACAAAAGACUUGUAAAUAGAAGGUAAAACAAGUAAAUUACUAUAAAACUGAUAAAUUGAUGUAUUACUGGUAAAUAAAACAAAAAUUUACAAAUAUAACAUAAAACUAGUAAAUCAACAUUAAGUUCAAAAUAAAACAUAAAUUUUGAAAAUGGAACAUAAGACUUGCAAAUGAAAGGUAAAACAAGUCAAUUAAUAUAAACUAGUAAAUUAAUGUAUUACUGGUAAACAAUACAAAAAAUUGCAAAUAUGACAUAAAACUAGUAAAUCAAUACUAACUAUAAAAUAAAACAUAAAUUUUAGAAAUGAAACAUAAGACUUGUAAAAAGAAAGUAAAAUAAGUGAAUUAUUAUAAAACCAGUAAACUAAUGUAUUACUGGUAAAUAAAAUGAAAACUUAUAAAUAUAACAUAAAACAAGUAAAUCAACAUUAAGUGCAAAAGAAAACAUAAAUUUUAGAAAUUGAACAUAAGACUUGUAAAUAAAAUGUAAAACAAGUAAAUUAAUAUAAAGUAGUGAAUUAAUGUAUUACUGGUAAACAAAACAACAACAUGCAAAUGUAACAUGAAACUAGUACAUCAACAAUAACUUAAAAAAAAAACAUAAAUUUUGGAAAUGAAAUAUAAGACUUGUAAAAUGAAGAUAAAAUAAGUAAAUUACUUUAAAACUGGUAAAUUAAUGUAUUACUGGUAAAUAAAAUAAAAACUUAUAAAUAUAACAUAAGACAAGUAAACCAACAUUAAAUACAAAAUAAAACAUAAAAGUUUGUAAAUUAUGCCUAAAACUUAUAAAUAAAAGAUAAAAUAAGUAAAUUAAUAGUUACUUAAAAAAAUUCACAAUUGUAAAAUUAAAACUCGUUAUAAUGUUUAUUACCUUAUAUAUUUAUUAAUUUUUUUAUAUGUAAAUUAAAUAACAUUAGUUUUGCAUUUAUAUAAUACAUGUGAUGUUUUUAUUAAGGAUGAAAUUUAUGCUCAAAAUCGGAGUUUGUAAAAAAUAUUAUUUUAAUAUCUUUCAUAGUUGUUGUAAGAUAAGUUGAUUUUGGAUCUUUCUACACUUCCUCAACAACAACUUUAAAUAGUCUCCAAAUAGAAGUAAAAAGUUUGAGACUAUGCAUAAUACUCAAAAUUAGAUAUAAUUUUAUUGAUAUAUCAUAUAUUUAUCUAGUAAUAUAAGAAUAUUUUUUUCUUUUGUUUUUACUUGAUCCACAUCAAGAUAAAUAAUUGAGCUUAAUUAACAUGUGUAAUAAAUAGAUAUCAUUAUAGAAAAUGGGGAAAAAAUGUAUACAAAUUUCCUAGAAUAAAUAUAGAAUUUAUGGUAACCAAUUCAAUAGAACUUAUUCCACUUUUUUUUAGUAUAACUUUUUUGUUUAAUUAAUGAGUAAUUUUUUUGUUUAAUUAAAGAAAAUUAUUUUUUGUAAAUGAAUAAAAUAUUUUUCACUAAAAUUCUAUAGAAAUAAUGUUAAUUUUUAAAUAAUUAAUAACCUUGUCUGAAUUUACUAGUUUUACUUAACAUUUACUAAUUCUAUGUGUAAUUUAUAAAAUUUAUGUCUAUCACGGUAUUGAUGCCGUAAUUUUCAUUACGGCGUUAUAGAAUUUUCCUUGAAAACCAUCAUUAAAAAGGUACAUUUAAUGAUGGUUAUGAAUAAAAAACCGUCAUAAAAAUUUAAUGAAAAAGUGUAAUAUAUGAUUGUUAUUUAAAUAACCGUCAUUAAAUGUAUCUUUUUAAUGAUGGAUUUUAUCCCGGAAAUGGUGCUCUGAAGGAAUGGAGGGAGAAGAGAACAGUACGACUGAGGAUCGAGAUCUGGUCUCUUUGCCUCAGAAGAAUGUAUAUUUUAUAAAGCAGAUCUGAUACAGAUCAGUCUGCAAGCAUGCUUUGUAAAAGAAAAUGCUUUAAAAUUAAAUUGCAAAAAUUUAAAUGCUCAGAAAUUAAAUUACAUGAAUUGAAAUUGCUUUACAAAUAAAACUAGAUCAGAGAUCUAGACAUACACUUUGCUUUUGUUGUUGUUGCUUUACAAUAUUUCAAAUCUUUCCAGAAGGGAAGAUUGAAAGACGGGAAGAUUAUUGAAGGCAAAGAACUAGUCUGAUUACUCAAAGCUCUAAGAUAGAACUAUUGCGUAAACAGAAAAUUUCUUUGAACUCUUCUUGCUUUAGAGAGAGUUUUAGAGAGAAGGAGGAGAAGAGAGAGAAAUAGAAGCUCAAAAUAAAACCCGUGGGGAGUCUUAGUCUUCCUCAUGGAUUAUAUACAAAAGUCAUAAAAUGUACAGUUACAUUUGUACUAUUCACUGUAGCGGGUUUGUAAGUGCACAGUAACAAAUGGAAAGGUGUACAGUAGAGCAGGAGCUUUAGUGCUGAUGUCGAGCAGAAAUGCUGAGCAGAGAUCUUUGGAUGCCGAGCAGGAAUGCUGAGCAGGAAUCUUUAGAUGCCGAGCAGGAAUGCUGAGCAGAGAAACUUUGUAAAGCGGGUGAAGAGACAUGUGCGCUCUCACUUGUGUCCAGAGGACCACCCGAGGAGAGAAAAAGCAAGAAAAUGCAAAAGUUUUUUUUUUUUUUUUUGAAUAGUUACAUGAACUAUUUACAGUGCUUUAUUGGAGAGAAAAUUCCGAAACAAUCAUCUUCGUUUUCAUCUCCAAGAGAGACGGUAGGCUCGUCGUCAUCAUUGUCUUCGUCUUCAGUAGAGUCUGCAACUGAGGACUUGGAUCGAGAAGCGAGGAGCUGUUCCAUUGCUUUGAAAUAUUCUUCUUCGGUUUUGGCACUUGCGAGGAGGGCUUGGGCUUUGGAUUUUUGAGUGAGGAAAGUGCCUUGGGCUUUAAUAUCUUUAAUAGCUGGUUGUAGGUGGCCCUGAGCAGAAAGCCAGUUUUGGACAAGGUUGGUAGUUAAUUUGGUCUGCUCGUCAAAUCUGCUGUACCGUACAUCCGCCUUGGCCGUACAGCAGAAGGCCAACUUCAAUUCACCAAACCAAGGUUCAUCUCGUGUAGUGAUUGUGGACUCGUACAAGGAUAUUGAGUAGACGGUUGAUGUAUCAGACUCUACCCUAUCUUUCGUAGCAUGCAUUCCCAUCCGUGUCGCAACUGAUUUGGUAAACUACGUGUCCGGUGCACGGAGAACUGCCUUCGGUCCCCCAAACUGACUUACUCGUGGCAACCUUCCGGCCGCCCAACGACCUAUAACGCUAGUCACUACUCCCACUGGGGCUAGGAAGUAAGCCCCACAACCCAAAGCGGCGAAGAACAAAUAGAAUUUGCUACAAAACUGCUGUACCGUACAUCCGCCUUGGCCGUACAGCAGACCACCUCUUGGCAAAGUAGGCUGAUGGGCAAGCCCCCUCUUUUCGAAAUGGUGUGGGGCGGAGGCUGUUGCCCCGU